GAUGAACGCUGGCGGCGUGCCUAAUACAUGCAAGUCGAGCGAACGGACGAGAAGCUUUCUUCUCUGAUGUUAGCGGCUGACGGGUGAGUAACACGUGGAUAGCCUACCUAUAAGACUUGGAUAACUUCGUGAAACCGGAGCUAAUACCGGAUAAUAUUUUGAACCGCAUGGUUCAAAAGUGAAAGACGGUCUUGCUGUCACUUAUAGAUGGAUCCGCGCUGCAUUAGCUAGUUGGUAAGGUAACGGCUUACCAAGGCAACGAUGCAUAGCCGACCUGAGAGGGUGAUCGGCCACACUGGAACUGAGACACGGUCCAGACUCCUACGGGAGGCAGCAGUAGGGAAUCUUCCGCAAUGGGCGAAAGCCUGACGGAGCAACGCCGCGUGAGUGAUGAAGGUCUUCGGAUCGUAAAACUCUGUUAUUAGGGAAGAACAGAUGUGUAAGUAACUGUGCACAUCUUGACGGUACCUAAUCAGAAAGCCACGGCUAACUACGUG
rnacentral:rRNA from 1 species